rnacentral:rRNA from 1 species
CACGUAGGCACCAAGCGUUGUCCGGAUUUAUUGGGCGUAAAGAGCUCGUAGGCGGUUCGGUAAGUCGGGUGUGAAAACUUUGGGCUUAACCCAAAGCGUGCACUCGAUACUGCCAUGACUAGAGUUCGGUAGGGGAGUGGGGAAUUCCUAGUGUAGCGGUGAAAUGCGCAGAUAUUAGGAGGAACGCCGGUGGCGAAGGCGCCACUCUGGGCCGAAACUGACGCUGAGGAGCGAAAGCGUGGGUAGCAAACAGG